UACGGGGGGGGCAAGCGUUGUUCGGAAUUACUGGGCGUAAAGGGCUCGUAGGCGGCCAACUAAGUCGGAUGUGAAAUCCCCAGGCUCAACCUGGGAACUGCAUCCGAUACUGGAUGGCUUGAAUCCGGGAGAGGGAUGCAGAAUUCCAGGUGUAGCGGUGAAAUGCGUAGAUAUCUGGAGGAAUACCGGUGGCGAAGGCGGCAUCCUGGACCGGCAUUGACGCUGAGGAGCGAAAGCCGGGGGAGCAAACGGG
rnacentral:rRNA from 1 species